GCCAGUAUGGUGCAGUGGUUUGAGUGUUGGACUAGGAUUCUGGGGGACCAGGGUUUGAAUCCCUGCUUGGUCA